CCCUGGUUAGCUCAGUUGGUAAAGCGCUCCACCUGUAAUGGAAAGGUGCCGGAUUCGAUACCCGGACCAGGCG
rfam:Ixodes scapularis strain Wikel colony gcontig_1108378945084, whole genome shotgun sequence.